rnacentral:lncRNA from 1 species
CGCGACCUCCUGGGGGUCUGCCGGGACUGCGGCGGGCGCGACCCCCUCCUGGGGGUCCGCCGGGACUGCGGCGGGCGCGACCCCCUCCUGGGGGUCCGCCGGGACUGCGGCUGGCGCGACCCCCUCCUGGAGGUCCGCCGGGACUGCGGCUGGCGCGACCUCCUCCUGGAGGUGCGCCGGGACUGCGGCUGGCGCGACCUCCUCCUGGAGGUGCGCCGGGACUGCGGCUGGCGCGACCUCCUCCUGGAGGUGCGCAGGAACUGCGGCUGGCGCAACCUCCUCCUGGAGGUGCGCAGGAACUGCGGCUGGCGCAACCUCCUCCUGGAGGUGCGCAGGAACUGCGGCUGGCGCAACCUCCUCCUGGAGGUGCGCAGGAACUGCGGCUGGCGCAACCUCCUCCUGGAGGUGCGCAGGAACUGCGGCUGGCGCAACCCCUCCUGGAGGUGCGCAGGAACUGCGGCGGGCGAACCUCCUCCUGGAGGUGCGCAGGAACUGCGGCUGGCGCAACCUCCUCCUGGAGGUGCGCAGGAACUGCGGCUGGCGCAACCUCCUCCUGGAGGUGCGCAGGAACUGCGGCUGGCGCGACCUCCUCCUGGAGGUGCGCAGGAGCUGUAGCUGGCGCGACCUCCUCCUGGAGGUGCGCAGGAACUGCGACUAGCGCGACCUCCUCCUGGAGGUGCGCAGGAACUGCGACUGGCGCGACCUCCUCCUGGAGGUGCGCAGGAACUGCGACUGGCGCGACCUCCUCCUGGAGGUGCGCAGGAACUACGGCUAGCGCGACCUCCUCCUGGGGACCGGCGGGCGCUGCGGCUCCACGGGUGACGGGGACUGGAACGACCGCUACAGGGCCGACAGGAACGGGGACUGGAACGACCGCUACAGGGUCGACAGGAACGGGGACUGGAACGACCGCUACAGGGUCGACAGGAACGGGGGACUGGAACGACCGCUAACAGGGCCGACAGGAACGGGGACUGGGAAUGACCGCUACAGGGUCGACAGGAACGGGGACUAUGGAAACGACCGCUACAGGGUCGACAGGAACGGGGACUGGAACGACCGCUACAGGGUC